UACGUAGGGUGCAAGCGUUGUCCGGAAUUAUUGGGCGUAAAGGGCUCGUAGGCGGUCUGUCACGUCGGGAGUGAAAACUCGGGGCUUAACCCCGAGCCUGCUUCCGAUACGGGCAGACUAGAGGUAUGCAGGGGAGAAUGGAAUUCCUGGUGUAGCGGUGAAAUGCGCAGAUAUCAGGAGGAACACCGGUGGCGAAAGCGGUUCUCUGGGCAUUACCUGACGCUGAGGAGCGAAAGUGUGGGGAGCGAACAGG
rnacentral:rRNA from 1 species